AGUGGAUGGGGAGCAACCUAGUUGUGCGUGUGUAAAGGUAGUGCCAAGAAAAGCGGUGAUCAUGAUGAAAAUCAAUUCCCGGUACCCGAAACCGACACAGGUGGGCAAGUAGAGAAUACUAAGGGGCGCGGGGUAACUCUCUCCAAGGAACUCGGCAAAAUGACCCCGUAACUUAGGGAGAAGGGGUGCCACCGAGAGGUGGUCGCAGUGAAGAGGCCCAGGCGACUGUUUAGCAAAAACAUAGGUCUCUGCAAACUCGAAAGAGGAGGUAUAGGGGCUGACGCCUGCCCAGUGCCGGAAGGUUAAAGAAGUUGGUCAGUCUUAGGAUGAAGCUAGCGACUGAAGCCCCGGUGAACGGCGGCCGUAACUAUAACGGUCCUAAGGUAGCGAAAUUCCUUGUCGGGUAAGUUCCGACCCGCACGAAAGGCGUAACGAUCUGGGCGCUGUCUCGGAGAGAGGCUCGGCGAAAUAGGAUUGUCUGUGAAGAUACGGACUACCUGCAUUUGGACAGAAAGACCCUAUGAAGCUUUACUAUAGCUUGGAAUUGUGUUCGGGCUUCCUGUGCGCAGGAUAGGUGGGAGGCGUAGAAGGUAUUCUUGUGGGGAUACUGGAGCCAACGGUGAGAUACCACUCUCAGGAGGCUAGAAUUCUAACUUAAUUAAGGACAGUUUCAGGUAGGUAGUUUGACUGGGGCGGUCGCCUCCAAAAAGGUAACGGAGGCGUACAAAGGUUCCCUCAGACUGGUUGGAAAUCAGUCGAAGAGUGCAAAGGCAGAAGGGAGCUUGACUGCGAGAAGUACAGUUCGAGCAGGGUGGAAACACGGUCUUAGUGAUCCGACGGUGCUGUGUGGAAGGGCCGUCGCUCAACGGAUAAAAGUUACUCUAGGAUAACAGGCUGAUCUCCCCCAAGAGUUCACAUCGACGGGGAGGUUUGGCACCUCGAUGUCGGCUCAUCGCAACCUGGGGCGGAAGUACGUCCCAAGGGUUGGGCUGUUCGCCCAUUAAAGCGGUACGUGAGCUGGGUUCAGAACGUCGUGAGACAGUUCGGUCCAUAUCCGAUGUAGGCGUGAGAAUAUUGAGAGGAGCCUUCCUUAGUACGAGAGGACCGGGAAGGACGCACCGCUGGUGUACCUGUUAUGAUGCCAAUUGUAAACGCAGGGUAGCCAAGUGCGGAGAGGAUAACCGCUGAAAGCAUCUAAGUGGGAAGCCCACCUCAAGAUGAGUAUUCUGGUGUAAGGUCACGGGAAGACGACCCGUAAAUAGGCACGAGGUGGAAGUGCAGAGAUGUAUGAAGCCGAAGUGUACUAAUAGACCGUCGGCUUGAC
rnacentral:rRNA from 1 species